rnacentral:rRNA from 1 species
AGAGUUUGAUCCUGGCUCAGAACGAACGCUGGCGGCGUGGAUUAGGCAUGCAGGUCGAGCGAGAACCCUGGUGUAGCAAUAUGUUGGGGGGAAAGCGGCGAACGGGUGAGUAAUAUAUGGGCAACCUACCCAUGAGUUGGGGAUAGCCUCCCGAAAGGGGGAUUAAUACCGGAUACGGUCGUUCCGCGCAUGCGGGACUAUCCAAAGGUGGGGAUCCGAAAGGACCUGCCGUUCACAGAUGGGCCCAUAUCCUAUCAGCUUGUUGGUGAGGUAACGGCUCACCAAGGCUUACGGGUAGCUGGUCUGAGAGGAUGGUCAGCCACACUGGGACUGAGACACUGCCCAGACUCCUACGGGAGGCUGCAGUCGAGGAUCUUGGACAAUGCGCGAAAGCGUGAUCCAGCGACGCCGCGUGCAGGAUGAAGGCCUUCGGGUCGUAAACUGCUGUCGUGUGGGAACAAUGGCUUGCCCGUUAACAUCGGGCGAGCGUGAUAGUACCACAGGAGGAAGCCACGGCUAACUCUGUGCCAGCAGCCGCGGUAAUUCAGAGGUGGCUAGCGUUGUUCGGAUUACUGGGCGUAAAGGGUGCGUAGGCGGUCUCGUGCGUCGGAUGUGAAAUGCUACGGCUCAACCGUGGAACGGCAUCCGAAACUACGGGACUAGAGUACCGGAGGGGAAGGCGGAAUUCUCGGUGUAGCGGUGAAAUGCGUAGAUAUCGAGAGGAACACCCGUGGCGAAGGCGGCCUUCUGGACGAGUACUGACGCUGAGGCACGAAGGCCGGGGGAGCAAACAGGAUUAGAUACCCUGGUAGUCCCGGCAGUAAACGUUGUGCACUUGGUGUGGGAGGUCUUAACCCCUUCCGUGCCGCAGCUAACGCGUUAAGUGCACCGCCUGGGGAGUACGGUCGCAAGAUUAAAACUCAAAGGAAUUGACGGGGGCCCGCACAAGCGGUGGAGCAUGUGGCUUAAUUCGAUCUACGCGAAGAACCUUACCUGGGCUUGACAUGCAGCUGCAGGCCUCCUGAAAGGGAGGCGGCCUUCGAGGGUGCGGCACAGGUGCUGCAUGGCUGCCGUCAGCUCGUGCCGUGAGGUGUUGGGUUAAGUCCCGCAACGAGCGCAACCCCUGUGACUAGUUGCCACCUUCAUCGCAAGAUGGAGCGCACUCUAGCCAGACUGCCUGUUAUAAGCAGGAGGAAGGUGGGGAUGACGUCAAGUCAGUAUGGCCUUUAUGCCCAGGGCUGCACACGUGCUACAAUGACCGGUAUAGAAGGACGCGAAGUCGCGAGACGGAGCAAAUCCCCAAAACCGGUCACAGUUCGGAUUGGAGUCUGCAACUCGACUCCAUGAAGCCGGAAUCGCUAGUAAAGGCGUAUCAGCUACGACGCCUUGAAUACGUUCCCGGGCCUUGUACACACCGCCCGUCACAUCAUGGAAGCCGUCUGCACCCGAAGUCGCCGACUGAACCCGCAAGGGACACAGGUGCCGAAGGUGUGGGUGGUGACUGG